AACGAACGCUGGCGGCAGGCCUAACACAUGCAAGUCGAGCGAAGCCUUCGGGCUUAGCGGCGGACGGGUGAGUAACGCGUGGGAACGUGCCCUUUGGUACGGAAUAGCCCCGGGAAACUGGGAGUAAUACCGUAUGUGGUCGAGAGACGAAAGAUUUAUCGCCAAAGGAUCGGCCCGCGUUGGAUUAGGUAGUUGGUGGGGUAAUGGCCUACCAAGCCGACGAUCCAUAGCUGGUUUGAGAGGAUGAUCAGCCACACUGGGACUGAGACACGGCCCAGACUCCUACGGGAGGCAGCAGUGGGGAAUCUUAGACAAUGGGGGAAACCCUGAUCUAGCCAUGCCGCGUGAUCGAUGAAGGCCUUAGGGUUGUAAAGAUCUUUCAGUGGGGAAGAUAAUGACUGUACCCACAGAAGAAGCACCGGCUAACUCUGUGCCAGCCGCCGCGGUAACAC
rnacentral:rRNA from 1 species